UACGAAGGGGGCUAGCGUUGCUCGGAAUCACUGGGCGUAAAGGGUGCGUAGGCGGGUCUUUAAGUCAGGGGUGAAAUCCUGGAGCUCAACUCCAGAACUGCCUUUGAUACUGAAGAUCUUGAGUUCGGGAGAGGUGAGUGGAACUGCGGAGUGUAGAGGUGAAAUUCGUAGAUAUUCGCAAGAACACCAGUGGCGAAGGCGGCUCACUGGCCCGAUACUGACGCUGAGGCACGAAAGCGUGGG
rnacentral:rRNA from 1 species